UAAAAUUCCAAAGAAGACCUUCGAACACUACGCCAUGGCACACAAGCUUCUCGUUUCCCCUUCUCUCGCGAAAGACACCGAGUCUUCGAGAACACCUCCCAUAUUCCUCGUCGGCAGCCCGUCCCUUCUUCCCUGGCAAUCGCCAUAGUUGAGUUGGGCAAGGAUCGCUCCUCUUUCAAAGCUCAAUAAAUCAGAUUUGGCUUCGAGGUUUCGCUGAUAUCUCUCUUUUUAGAUCUGUCUGUGCAGGCCAUUAGAGAUGGAGACGACAACGGCGGUUUCUAGCAUGUCGGAGUUGGGGUUGAUACCCUUUUGUGCUGGCUCUGGUUCUCAUCCUCCAAGAUGCGUCCCUUUCUCCCAUGUUUAACCACGGAGGCUACCAACGACAGCACCGCCAUGAGUAGGUCUGGGCGUUUCAGACGCGGAGGUUUUCGGCCAGGGAUAGAAGGGCUGCUUCGCAGUCGCAGGGGGCUCAUGACGAGCAAGUGAUAUUUUUGUCAAGGAGAAGUCUUCAGAGAAGAUUGGCCUAGAACUGGCGGUACUGAGCAUUGUGCAUUUUUUUGGUGAUCUGAAUGAACCAUGCUCUCACUAUGCCACUGCGUAGUUUUUGCACAGAAUUCUUGUGUGAAUGAGUGGUGCCAAAUUGCCAAUAGAAGAUGGUUUCCCACAAAAAAAAUAGAAGGAAGCAAGAAGCAUGCAACGUGGACCAGAGAAGAGAAACAAUGUUCAGGGGUGUCCAGCUUGGAUACUUGGUUUAGUGUUCAUGAUAUUUUUAACCAGUGGAUGAUGAGGGCAUGCCCCCACAGUUCUAAGGGAGGUGUCGCUGUUGCGGAUGCUGUCUAAGAGCCCACAUUUCAUGCUCCUGCUCGAUCUGAAGCAGGGCCGGACCAUCCUCUAUCUCGUUUUCGAGUACAUGGAUGCCAACCUUAAGAAGUUCAUCCACGGCCACCGCAUAACCAUGAGAAGAUCCCCAACCACACAGUCAAGAUCCUGAUGUACCAGCUCUGCAGGGGCAUGGUUGAGACAGAGUGUUCUGCGCUGUGACCUCAAGCUGCACCAUGGCCUCAAGCUCUUCUGAAGUGAAGUGAAGUUUUUUGGAUGCCAGAUUAAAGUAAUUAAUCAGAUUGUAAUUUUAGGAUCAUUUUUCAUGAAGAAGAUGUUACAAUCAAACCAGAGUCAAGCUCUAGAUAUUAUGGGGUCAGAUUACAUUUGAUAAUCCAUUGAGUGAUGACCAUGCCUUGCAAUAAAAUAACAGGCCAUGAGUUUUAGUCCCGUGAGAUGCAGUUUUAACUCUACGCUUUGGCCUCUCUUCUAAAAGUAUACAGAAUUUGGAGGCUAUCAAUAAUUAAAUCCAAGAAGUUUACCCUUACACUUCUAUUCGGUUUUCAAAAUCCAAGAAAUCUGAACCAUUUGCGUACCUUUGUUUUCUAUGUCCUGCUCAUUUAUUAUUCAUGUUUACUUCAGUCAUAAUUAUAUGGUAAGUUAUACAAAUUGUGAAGUGUUCCACCUUUUUCAUCUGGCGAAAAGAAGUGUUCCUCCAUUUUGAGAAAGUCUGGACUUUGAAUAAUUGCCUUUUAUCCUGUUGCAGGAACCAGGAACUUCUGAACUCCAGAACAUUUCUCUACUACACUGGUACCAUAAAAAGAUUAACGACCUGCAGACUUGCUUCAGCAGUUGGUUCUACGAGUUUUGGUCUUAGUGCUCUCUUAAUGGGCCUAAAAAAAGAAUUAUCCUAAUGGAUAACUGUCUUCAUAGUUGAAAAAGUCCUAGAAGUUGAGUACAACUGGUGUUGCUUCAUGAGAUGACCAGUUUUAAGCAUAAGGGAGCAUUGAUGUGCCAUUUUUCAUUUGUAAAGCAGUGAACAAUAAAAUAUUCUAGAUUGUAUCUCACCGUACUUGUGAAUGUCUUAGCAUUUUUGUUA